GAUGAACGCUGGCGGCGUGCCUAAUACAUGCAAGUCGAACGAAGAUCUAGCUUGCUAGAUCUUAGUGGCGAACGGGUGAGUAAUACAUAGAUAAUCUGCCCAUAUGACUGGGAUAACUAUUGGAAACGAUAGCUAAUACCGGAUAGGUUGAUCGGAGGCAUCUCUGAUGAAUUAAAGUAGGAUUUCUACACAAAUGGAUGAGUUUAUGGCGCAUUAGUUAGUUGGUGGGGUAACGGCCUACCAAGACGAUGAUGCGUAGCCGACCUGAGAGGGUGACCGGCCACACUGGGACUGAGACACGGCCCGGACUCCUACGGGAGGCAGCAGUAGGGAAUUUUCGGCAAUGGGCGCAAGCCUGACCGAGCAACGCCGCGUGAGUGAUUAAGGCCUUCGGGUUGUAAAGCUCUGUUGUAAGGGAAGAACAUUCAGGAUAGGAAAUGAUCUUGAACUGACGGUACCUUACCAGAAAGCCACGGCUAACUACGUGCCAGCCGCCGCGGUAA
rnacentral:rRNA from 1 species